rnacentral:rRNA from 1 species
AGUAAUACAUAAGUAACCUGCCCUAGACAGGGGGAUAACUAUUGGAAACGAUAGCUAAGACCGCAUAGGUACGGACACUGCAUGGUGACCGUAUUAAAAGUGCCUCAAAGCACUGGUAGAGGAUGGACCUAUGGCGCAUUAGCUGGUUGGCGGGGUAACGGCCCACCAAGGCGACGAUGCGUAGCCGACCUGAGAGGGUGACCGGCCACACUGGGACUGAGACACGGCCCAG